rnacentral:misc_RNA from 1 species
ACCCAAAUCAGACUCCAGGAGGAUGCCAA